UACGGAGGGAGCUAGCGUUGUUCGGAAUUACUGGGCGUAAAGCGCACGUAGGCGGCUUUGUAAGUUAGAGGUGAAAGCCCGGGGCUCAACUCCGGAACUGCCUUUAAGACUGCAUCGCUUGAAUCCAGGAGAGGUGAGUGGAAUUCCGAGUGUAGAGGUGAAAUUCGUAGAUAUUCGCAAGAACACCAGUGGCGAAGGCGGCUUACUGGUCCGGUUCUGACGCUGAGGCGCGAAAGCGUGGGGAGCAAACAGG
rnacentral:rRNA from 1 species